rnacentral:rRNA from 1 species
UCAAGUUAUUAAGGGUGCAGGGCGAAUGCCUUGGCACUAGGAGCCGAUGAAGGACGUGAUAAGCUGCGAUAAGCUUCGGGGAGUUGCACGUAAACUUUGAUCCGAAGAUUUCCGAAUGAGGAAACUCACUUAGAGUAAUGUCUAAGUAUCGUAUGAUGAAUACAUAGUCAUGCGAGGGGAACCCGGAGAACUGAAACAUCUAAGUACCCGGAGGAAGAGAAAGAAAUUCGAUUCCGUAAGUAGCGGCGAGCGAACGCGGAACAGGCCAAACCAGUGAAGUUUUCUUCGCUGGGGUUGCGGACAUAUCAUAACGAAGAGGUAUCGUAGAAGAAGAGAGUUGGAAAGCUCCGCCAUAGAUGGUAACAGCCCAGUAUUUUAAACGAGAAGACUUUAGAUAUGAUCCAGAGUACCACGGGACACGUGAAACCCUGUGGGAAGCAGGAGGGACCAUCCUCCAAGCCUAAAUACUACCUAGUGACCGAUAGCGUAUAGUACCGUGAGGGAAAGGUGAAAAGAACCCCGGGAGGGGAGUGAAAGAGAACCUGAAACCCUGCACUUACAAGCUGUAGGAGCACAUUAUUUGUGUGACUGCGUACUUUUUGUAGAACGGGCCAACGAGUUACGUUGUGUAGCAAGGUUAAGCACUUAAGGUGUGGAGCCGUAGCGAAAGCGAGUCUUAAAUGGGCGUCCAGUUACCCGACGUAGACCCGAAACCAGGCGACCUAUCCAUGAGCAGGUUGAAGCGAAAGUAAAAUUUCGUGGAGGACCGAACCCACGUACGUUGAAAAGUGCGGGGAUGACUUGUGGAUAGCGGUGAAAUUCCAAUCGAGCCUGGAGAUAGCUGGUUCUCCCCGAAAUAGCUUUAGGGCUAGCCUCAAGCUUAGAGAAACGGAGGUAGAGCACUGAAUGUCCUAGGGGGUAUUGCACUUACCGAAGACUAUCAAACUCCGAAUGCCGUAUUCUUUUGCUUGGGAGUCAGACUAUGGGUGAUAAGAUUCAUAGUCAAGAGGGCAACAGCCCAGAUCGUCAGCUAAGGUCCCUAAAUGUAAGUUAAGUGGUAAAGGAUGUGGAAUUGCACAGACAACCAGGAUGUUGGCUUAGAAGCAGCCACUCAUUUAAAGAGUGCGUAAUAGCUCACUGGUCGAGUGAUUCUGCGCCGAAAAUUUCCGGGGCUAAAACUUACUACCGAAGCUACGGCAUCAUUAUGAUGGGUAGGGGAGCUUUCUAUGUGGCUUGAAGCAUGACCGUAAGGACAUGUGGACUGCAUAGAAGUGAGAAUGUUGGCAUGAGUAGCGAGAUGUGGGUGAGAAUCCCACAGGCCGUAAACCCAAGGUUUCCAGGGGAAGGUUCGUCCGCCCUGGGUUAGUCAGGACCUAAGCCGAGGCCGAAAGGCGUAGGUGAUGGACAACAGGUUGAUAUUCCUGUACCACCAAUAACCGUUUGAGAAAUGGGAUGACACAGUAGGAUAAGCUAACCGCACUGUUGGUUAUGUGCGGGCAAGUAUUGAGGCAGUUCCGAUAGGCAAAUCCGUCGGAAUAAUGCUGGGGUACGAUGCGGAGCGAAAUUUAGUAGCGAAGUAGCUGAUUUCACACUGUCGAGAAAAGUCUCUAUCGAGGUUAAAGGUGCCUGUACCGCAAACCGACACAGGUGGGUGAGGAGAGUAUCCUAAGGCCAGCGAGAGAACUGUUGUUAAGGAACUCGGCAAAAUGACCCCGUAACUUCGGGAGAAGGGGUGCCUUCGAAAGAAGGCCGCAGAGAAUAGGCCCAAGCGACUGUUUACCAAAAACAUAGGUUUCUGCUAAGUCGCAAGACGAUGUAUAGGAGCUGACGCCUGCCCGGUGCUGGAAGGUUAAGGGGAUCUGUUAGAGCAAUCGAAGCAGUGAACUUAAGCCCCAGUAAACGGCGGCCGUAACUAUAACGGUCCUAAGGUAGCGAAAUUCCUUGUCGGGU